CGGUAGUUUCCCAUCCAAAAAGGGAAAAGUGGAUGCAAGCCAUGGUUGAAGAGGUGGAGUCUCUAGACCCUCCACAAAAAUCAAACUUGGGAGUUAGUUAACCUUCCAAAAGACAAGAGGUGAUGUGCCACAACAUGGGGCAAGUCAGACACUAGGCAUCGGAUCUUGGAGUGUGAUGGGAAGGUGAGAGACAAUGGUGCAAGUAUGAAGCAUUCACAUGUUGGCUGGAAUGAACUCAUGAAAUUGGGCCUAAUUAGGGUGAAGAAGACCAAGUCUAAGUGGAGGAUCCAUAUAGGGCAUGCAAGUCAGGCAUAUGGGGCUGCUAAGGCUUGUAAAGUGUUGUAAAGUCAACCCAAAUUGAUCAAGGAACAAAAGUGGCAUCCAAGCAAGAAGGUAAAACUAAAUCAACUAGGAUUGACCAAAGUCCAACUGCAAAAGCUAAAAGGAAGCAAGGUGGGUGGCUUGCGUAAUCUCCACAUCCUAGUCCAAUUGGUUUGACUUGUCAACUCCUUCCAAAUCAAGAAGAUUCCACAAAACUUUAAAUUAAAGAGGAAGUUUGACUUUUCAACUUCCUAAUUCCAUCUUAUUUAGUAUUUAAUUUCCAGAUUUGCAGUAGCUUUAGUUCCUAUUUAGUUUUAGCUUGUUUUUCUUAAUUAGUUUAUAGUUAUCUCUUCUUAUUUAGUUGUUGGACUCUUGCCUAUAAAUAGGCAUUAUUUUAUACUAGAAAGGAGUUUAGAACAUCAAUAUAAUUUCAGUAAAGUUACUACCAAAUUCUAAUUCUUAUCAAUCUUGUGAUUGUGGCGAAUUAACCUAGACUUAUCACCUUUGUGUGUGGUGUCUAAACGGGUAAUUGGAGUUCUUCUUGGAGUGUAAACUUAUCAAAGGACCUGAAUUUCCACCCUUGCAUGGAGACUUUGUGGUGUUUCGACUUAUCAAAGCUUUCUUGCAAGUUUACCUAUCUUUUAUGUUUUAUUUGUUACUCUUUGUUUUAGUUCUUUUAG
rnacentral:misc_RNA from 1 species